UAAGCAGAUGCAGGAUACUGGCUCUGGAGA
rnacentral:piRNA from 1 species